rnacentral:rRNA from 1 species
UACGAAGGGGGCUAGCGUUGUUCGGAUUUACUGGGCGUAAAGCGCACGUAGGCGGAUCGUUAAGUCGAGGGUGAAAUCCUGGAGCUCAACUCCAGAACUGCCUUCGAUACUGGCGAUCUAGAGUCCGGAAGAGGUGAGUGGAACUCCUAGUGUAGAGGUGGAAUUCGUAGAUAUUAGGAAGAACACCAGUGGCGAAGGCGGCUCACUGGUCCGGUACUGACGCUGAUGUGCGAAAGCGUGGGGAGCACACAGG